AGUUCAGUUACAUCCUUGAUUAAACUCUAUAUAAUUCUCAAAUUAUAUAGAGUUUAAUCAAGGAUGUAACUGCCCG
rnacentral:pre_miRNA from 1 species